UUGGUGUGAAUUGCAGAAUCCCGCGAACCAUCGAGUCUUUGAACGCAAGUUGCGCCCGAGGCCAGCCGGCCAAGGGCACGUCUGCCUGGGCGUCAAGC
rnacentral:rRNA from 1 species